rnacentral:rRNA from 1 species
GAUGAACGCUGGCGGCGUGCCUAAUACAUGCAAGUCGAGCGAACAGACGAGGAGCUUGCUCCUCUGACGUUAGCGGCGGACGGGUGAGUAACACGUGGAUAACCUACCUAUAAGACUGGGAUAACUUCGGGAAACCGGAGCUAAUACCGGAUAAUAUAUUGAACCGCAUGGGUCAAUAGUGAAAGACGGUUUUGCUGUCACGUAUAGAUGGUUCCGCGCCGCAUUAGCUAGUUGGUAAGGUAACGGCUUUCCAAGGCAACGAUGCGUAGCCGACCUGAGGGGGUGAUAGGCGACAUUGGAACUGAGACACGGUCCAGACUCCUGAGGGAGGCAGCAGUAGGGAAUCUUCCGCAACAGGCGAAAGCAUGACGGAGCAACGCGGAGUGAGAGAUGAAGGUCUUCGGAUCGUAAAACCCGGUUAUUAGGGAAGAACAAAUGUGUAAGUAACUAUGCACGUCUUGACGGUACCUAAUCAGAAAGCCACGGCUAACUACGUG